GGAUUCCGAUCAGUGCUGAAUGAAGGCCCAUUGGUCCUGGCUUAUGUCUUGAUUCUUGCAGGGUAUCCCUUUGUUCGCUGGGCACUGCAUCAAACACACACGGAAAUGAUUCCUCGCUGAAUCCUCCUUCAUUGGUGGUGGAAGCACUCACACAUAUAGCAUGUGUUCACAGGACGUCCGUGGGUGUUACCGUGAACAAAUCAGCGUGUCCAAAGAAUGCGACGUGUUCGUAUGUAUGACAUAGCAUGGCACAACAACACAUCUUCGACCAUUGUGGUCUUUGGUUUGUUGGCAUAGAAGACCCGUAUGGGCAAUGCAGGGUAGGACUUCUCCCAGUGCUUCUUCAUUCUACUUCGGUAGCUUGUUGAUGUUGCUGUGGAGAACCUAUCCCUAUCGGGAUUAAGAGAGCUUGGCGGUGAGAUACAUAUUCMUACGCAAGAGGUGAAAUUCUUAGACCGCAGGAAGAUGAACUAAAGCGAAGGCAUUUCUCAAGCAUGCUUUCAUUAAUCAAGAACGUAAGUGUGGGGAUCGAAGAUGAUCAGAUACCAUCGUAGUCCACACUGUAAACUAUGCCAGUUCAGAGCYAGGUGUCGGUUUACGAACAUGACUCACCUGGCACUACCCCCAAUAACGAGAAAUCCUAAACUUUUGGGUUCAGGGGGGAGUACAUUCGCAAGAAUGAAACUUAAAGGAAUUGACGGAAUGACACCACCAGGCGUGGAGUAUGCGGCUUAAUUUGACUCAACACGGGGAACUUUACCAAGUCAGGACAAAGUUAGGAUUGACAGAUUGAUAGCUCUUUCAUGAUCCCUUGGAUGGUGGUGCAUGGCCGUUCCUGGUUGGUGGAGUGAUCUGUCUGGUUGAUUCCGCUAACGAACGAGAUCCCUGCCUCUACCUAUGUACCAGCCUCGUAUAUAUGUAGKGCAUUAUCAAUCUGUAGCCUCGACUACUUGAUGGUUCCCGAGAGAGCUGGUUAG
rnacentral:rRNA from 1 species